rnacentral:rRNA from 1 species
GACGAACGCUGGCGGCGUGCUUAACACAUGCAAGUCGAACGAAGAGCGAUGGAAGCUUGCUUCUAUCAAUCUUAGUGGCGAACGGGUGAGUAACGCGUAAUCAACCUGCCCUUCAGAGGGGGACAACAGUUGGAAACGACUGCUAAUACCGCAUACGAUCUAAUCUCGGCAUCGAGGAUAGAUGAAAGGUGGCCUCUACAUGUAAGCUAUCACUGAAGGAGGGGAUUGCGUCUGAUUAGCUAGUUGGAGGGGUAACGGCCCACCAAGGCGAUGAUCAGUAGCCGGUCUUAGAGGAUGAACGGCCACAUUGGGACUGGGACACGGCCCAGACUCCUACGGGAGGCAGCAGUGGGGAAUCUUCCGCAAUGGACGAAAGUCUGACGGAGCAACGCCGCGCGAGCGAUGACGGCCUUCGGGUUGUAAAGCUCUGUUAAUCGGGACGAAAGGCCUUCUUGCGAAUAGUGAGAAGGAUUGACGUUACCGGAAUAGAAAGCCACGGCUAACUACGUG